rnacentral:rRNA from 1 species
CACGUAGGGCGCAAGCGUUGUCCGGAAUUAUUGGGCGUAAAGGGCUCGUAGGCGGUUUGUCGCGUCGGGAGUGAAAACCUCGGGCUUAACUCGGGGCUUGCUUUCGAUACGGGCAGACUGGAGGUAUGCAGGGGAGAACGGAAUUCCUGGUGUAGCGGUGAAAUGCGCAGAUAUCAGGAGGAACACCGGUGGCGAAGGCGGUUCUCUGGGCAUGACCUGACGCUGAGGAGCGAAAGUGUGGGGAGCGAACAGG